rnacentral:rRNA from 1 species
GUUAGUAGUACCAGGUCAGUUCCUGGUCAGUACCUGGAUGGGAAACUGUCUGGGAACAACGGGUGUUGUUGGCU